rnacentral:ncRNA from 2 species
AGCUACAAAAACAACUCUACUCAUAUAUCCCUUGAAUACGGCAAGGAGCAUCUACGGUCAGCCUUAAAUUGACCACUAUGGGUAAUUUUAGUAUGAAC